ACAAAUAGAAUUGCGAAGGUAGAUAUCAGUGUGACAGAUGAAAAUGACAACAAGCCAGAAAUAUUUGCUGAUUCCCCAUACAAUAAUCGUACUCAUGGAUAUUUUGCCUUUAUAUCUGAGGAUUCUCCUGUUAAUACACAAGUAAUAAGGUUCAAGGCAGAGGACAAGGACUCUUUCAGUAACACGAUUCACUAUGAACUGGUUCCAGAGAGUAAUCGUGGACGCUAUUUUCGAAUUGAUUCUACCGGUCGCAUCAAAACAGAUCGGGAACUAUCGGGAGUACC